UAGGGAAUCUUCGGCAAUGGGGGCAACCCUGACCGAGCAACGCCGCGUGAGUGAAGAAGGUUUUCGGAUCGUAAAGCUCUGUUGUAAGAGAAGAACGUGUGUGAGAGUGGAAAGUUCACACAGUGACGGUAACUUACCAGAAAGGGACGGCUAACUACGUGCCAGCAGCCGCGGUAAUACGUAGGUCCCGAGCGUUGUCCGGAUUUAUUGGCCGUAAAGCGAGCGCAGGCGGUUUAAUAAGUCUGAAGUUAAAGGCAGUGGCUUAACCAUUGUUCGCUUUGGAAACUGUUAAACUUGAGUGCAGAAGGGGAGAGUGGAAUUCCAUGUGUAGCGGUGAAAUGCGUAGAUAUAUGGAGGAACACCGGUGGCGAAAGCGGCUCUCUGGUCUGUAACUGACGCUGAGGCUCGAAAGCGUGGGGAGCAAACAGG
rnacentral:rRNA from 1 species